UUUGUUGAUUAUUUUGUUGUUUAUUUUGUGGUAUUUUGUUGUUUUAUUGAAAAAUCAUUUUGGUUGUAGUAAUUUUUGAUUUAAUAUUUUUUGCGAUAGUUUAUUUGUACCGUGAGGGGUUGUUGAAUUAAAUGUUUUGUUGGAAGUAGUUUUUGUUUAACGUACCUUGUGUAUCAGGGUUCAUUGAAUUUUAUUAUUUAUUUUUAUUUCCCGAUUUUAAAGGAGUUAAUGAUUUAUGUUAGUUACUGUUUAAUUAGUAUUAAUGAUAUUUUGUUGGUAGUGAAAUGUUAUUCGUCUUUAGUGGUUUCUGGUUUUUCAAGAAAUGAAUUUAAUUCAGGCGUUUUAUUUAAUUUUUAUUUUUUUAUUAUUUAUUUUUAUUUUGCGCUAAGAUUAAGGGGGAUUAGCUCUUUAUUUUAUUAUUAUAAUUUAAUGUGUAAUUUAGUUUUGUGGAUUUUAUAGUGAUUUUCAAUUUGAUUAUGUUAAAGUUUUAUUUGUUUUUUUAUUUAUUUCUUUUGUAUUUAAAUUUAUAUUGAAAUGUAUAUUUUAUUUUUAUUUUGUAUAGUAAUUAUUGUGUAAUUAGUAAAUUUUGUUUAUUGUGUUGUAAUAUUCUUUGUUAAUUUCUUUUUAGGAAUUAGGCAAAUUUUUAUGUCCGCCUGUUUAACAAAAACAUCUUUUCUUGUUAGUUUUUGAAGUAUGGCCUGCCCACUGACUUUUGUUGAAGGGCCGCGGUAUUUUGACCGUGCAAAGGUAGCAUAAUCAUUAGUUCUUUAAUUGUGAUCUGGUAUGAAUGGCUUGACGAGACGUGAGCUGUCUUAGAGGAAUUUUAUUGUUGAAUUUGGUUUUUGAGUUAAAAUUCUUAAAUGUAUUUAUGGGACGAGAAGACCCUAUAGAGUUUAACAUUUUUAUUAUUGUGUUUAAUUUCGUUUGUGUUCUGGUUAGCAGUGAUUAAAUGUUUUGUUGGGGUGAUGAGAGGAAUAUUUUAAACUCCUCUUUGUUUUUAUAUAUUUAUUUAUAUAUAUUUGAUCCAUUUAUUUUGAUUAUAAGAUUAAAUUACCUUAGGGAUAACAGCGUUAUCUUCCUUGAGAGUUCUUAUUGGCGGGGAGGUUUGCGACCUCGAUGUUGGAUUAAGAUGAAUUUUUGGUGCAGGAGCUGAAAGUGAUUAGGUCUGUUCGACCUUUAAAAUCUUACAUGAUCUGAGUUCAGACCGGCGUGAGCCAGGUUGGUUUCUAUCUAUAAUAAUUCUUAUACCUUAGUACGAGAGGACCGGGUAUUUGGAAUAAUUUUAUUUAUAUGAUUUUUAUUAAUAUAUUU
rnacentral:rRNA from 1 species